rnacentral:rRNA from 1 species
AGAGUUUGAUCAUGGCUCAGAUUGAACGCUGGCGGAAUGCUUUACACAUGCAAGUCGAACGGCAGCACGGGGGCAACCCUGGUGGCGAGUGGCGAACGGGUGAGUAAUACAUCGGAACGUGCCCAGUCGUGGGGGAUAACUACGCGAAAGCGUAGCUAAUACCGCAUACGAUCUACGGAUGAAAGCGGGGGAUCGCAAGACCUCGCGCGAUUGGAGCGGCCGAUGGCAGAUUAGGUAGUUGGUGGGGUAAAGGCUCACCAAGCCGUCGAUCUGUAGCUGGUCUGAGAGGACGACCAGCCACACUGGGACUGAGACACGGCCCAGACUCCUACGGGAGGCAGCAGUGGGGAAUUUUGGACAAUGGGCGCAAGCCUGAUCCAGCCAUUCCGCGUGCAGGAUGAAGGCCCUCGGGUUGUAAACUGCUUUUGUACGGAACGAAAAGCCUUCUUCUAAUACAGGAGGGUCAUGACGGUACCGUAAGAAUAAGCACCGGCUAACUACGUGCCAGCAGCCGCGGUAAUACGUAGGGUGCAAGCGUUAAUCGGAAUUACUGGGCGUAAAGCGUGCGCAGGCGGUGAUGUAAGACAGAUGUGAAAUCCCCGGGCUCAACCUGGGAACUGCAUUUGUGACUGCAUCGCUGGAGUGCGGCAGAGGGGGAUGGAAUUCCGCGUGUAGCAGUGAAAUGCGUAGAUAUGCGGAGGAACACCGAUGGCGAAGGCAAUCCCCUGGGCCUGCACUGACGCUCAUGCACGAAAGCGUGGGGAGCGAACAGGAUUAGAUACCCUGUAGUCCACGCCCUAAACGAUGUCAACUGGUUGUUGGGUCUUCACUGACUCAGUAACGAAGCUAACGCGUGAAGUUGACCGCCUGGGGAGUACGGCCGCAAGGUUGAAACUCAAGGGAAUUGACGGGGACCCGCACAAGCGGUGGAUGAUGUGGUUUAAUUCGAUGCA